AGAACUCCAAGCUCCAGUCUUUAUCUGGAGGUCCAGUUUGUCUGAAAGGCAAAGUGGCCUAAAUAAAGGGUCUACAUUAAUUCAUGGAAGUAGCUAUUAGAAUAACCAGAUGGUCAGGGGCUUAACAUGAACAAAAUUGAAGGAUUGAUAACAAGUGGUUUGGGAAAGAGGAAUUUGGAUGGACUUCUCAGAAUAGUCUCAAAUGUAUGGAUAUUUAUGUCUUGUGUGAAUUCUCCUUACUGCAGAGGUGGUUCUCAAUCAAACAGACAAAAUAACCCAUGUAGUUAAUGUCAAUCAACUUCUAUCCCCAGCUACUUCAGAAGUCCUUUAAAAUAACUCUUGAAAAAAUUGUCUUGGUGGCAGGAAUGGAGAUUAUGUACAUGCUCAGUUAUAUAGACUUUCCUUCCCCAAGAUAUUUCUAGCAUCACUGGGUGUCCACAGUCAGUCUAUAGUAGUGAUCAAUCCUUGGCCCUCUCUGUACCUAGGAGGAUCCAUCAGCUACCUGCCAUCAUGGUGAGGAGGGUCUGUGAAAUAGAGAGUUGUCUCCAUUGAAAAGAUGUAUUGGAUAUGGAUUUUCCUUCAGUGCUUACCAUGCUUCUGCCAGCAUCACGGUCCAUGAGCUUACUGCAUACCCUAGUCACUCUCAUGAUUUGCCGUAUCAAUGGGCUGACAUUUCCAGGAUUCCCUCUUAUCACUCAGCAUAUUACCCUCAAAUCUCUACCUCUAGUUUCCACUUCUAGUUUUCAACCCAUUUUCAAUAUCAUAUUUUUAUGUUUUGGCUCCUGCAGUUCCAUCUGCCUUCACUGUCUUUAUUCCUUAUCAAAAUUUAUAUAUCUUUUGAGAUCCAUUCAACCAUCACACUGGCUUCAUUGAUUUCCUUUGGAAAAUUUCCCCUAACUUUCUACUGAUACUUAGCCAAUGUUUUGUUAUAGUCCAUAACAUACUUGUCUUAUUACUUUAUAGAACUGGAAGUAUCACAUGGACAGGAACUGUACCUUACUCUCCUUUACAUAAUUUGUUGAUCCUUGAACCCAGUAGGUAAUCAAUAAGUAUUUAUUAAAUUUAAUAAAUUUAAUUGUAUCAGUAGCAAAGAGCUUUGUAAUAAUGCCUAGAUGGGUAUUAAGAGAAAGAAGACAACAAUGUGUUGCCCUAGUAUAAUAUUUUUUCAACCAAUGUUUAUUAGGUAGAUAUAUAUAUAUGUGUGCAUAUAUAUAUAAUGGAAAGGAGAUGGUCACCCUUUCUUGAUUUCAUCUACCAAAAGUUGUAGGGAGGCAUGAAAAAAUGGUAAUAGAAACCUUUCAUUAUUAAAGUGACUAAGAUUCUCUAUGUGAGGGAGAAAAUAUGUGCAGACAGCAUUUGCAAACACUUUAUUUCAAGCCUCAGACAAAGGCAUGGAGUUGAAAGGAUGCAUUUUAUUCCAAAAUUUGAGUCAAUAUCUAACAUGUGAAUAUUCAGAAAACAUACUUUUAUUCCUUUGGUCAUAUGAGAAGUUUGUUAUUGUAGUUUAAUAGACAAUGUAUAGGUUCUGUGUUCCAGCAAAAUUAGAAUGAGGAGGCUUUUUGUCUGUGUUUAUAUCAGCCAUGGGUAGAAAAUGAGGAUGUGAUAUAGAAUAAACAAAUUCUUUCACUACCUCAGCCUUUGAUUUCUGAUAUUUUAAUCACUUCUUAUUUUUGUGAAUCGUCAGAGUUUAUGUGAAAAUAACCUGUUUAAAUGUUUUUGUUCUUGAAUUGAAUGUAAGUAGAAAGUAGAAACCUUUGAACAUCAGAAUUUAAUCAAAAAUAAAAACUUAAGGAGUUCCCGUCAUGGUGCAGUGGAAACGAAUCCAACUAGGAACCAUGAGGUUGCGGGUUUGACCCCUGGCCUCGCUCAGUGGGUUAAGGAUGUGGCGUUGCCGUGAGCUGUGGUGUAGGUUGCAGACGCGGCUUGGAUCCCGCGUUGCCGUGGUUCUGGUGUAGGCCGGCGGCUACAGCUCUGAUUAGACCUCUAGCCUGGGAACCUCCAUAUGCCACGGGUGUGGCCCUGGAAAAGACAAAAAAGAGAUAAAAAACCCCCAAAAACAUAAAACUUAAGCUGUCUAGAAUAUACCAUAGACUUAGAGUAGUGUGCAUUAUGGUGCCGCUUUCUUCGAAUAUGUCAAAAUUCACUCAUUAUACUUUCUUUGCUUUAGAGAAUAUCUGAAAGCAAACUGAUUCAGUCACAUGAUUUCAUCCAAGCAAUAUACAGCUUCAAGUUAGCAGAGGGUGGAUCCCUUCUAAAUGUAUAAGCAUGGCUAUUGGAUAUUAUUUGAUGAAUGAGGAAUCAUGAAUGGUAUUCAACUACAUCAUAGAUGCAUUUCAGCUGAAUGGCCUAUGGAGAGAAUAUGUCUAAAGUUAGUUUCAAGGUGCCGAUGAAGUAUUAGACUGCAUAAAUGAUAUCCAGUUUCCAUGGGGAUUAGAGAAAAUCAUGUUCUAAGGGUGAUCACCCACAUUUAUGAUUCAUAUCUUUUCCUAAAUGCAGAAUUUUAUUUGAGCAGAAAGGCAGAAAAAUAAUAACAUAGUAGUACAUUUGCUACUUAGAUGCAAGGGGGUGAACAGUUUCAAGACAAUUCAAUUUUGUUGGUUCCUCAGCCAGAUUGGUUGAUGGAUGAUUAGCACUGUUCUUAUUAUUCAUAAAUUGACUGGCACAAAUGCACAUUUCAUUAGCUGAGAUUACCCACUGACAUCUAUUGCAUUAACUGGUGGAUAAUUGCUUCUAUUUAUAGGUUAAGGUGAAGGUGUUCUGGGAAAAAUUUGUUUCUUUUUUACCCAUCAAAUUAGAAAGUGAAACUCUGAAUCAAAUACUCAUUUGAAAGAUACUAUUGAACAAGCUGAGAUUUAACUCAGUGCCCUAAAAUUUAUCUCUGAUUUAAUUUUUUUAUGAGGCUUACCUUUUUGGCCAUGUUUCAUCUUUAUCAUACAUGAUUAGGAUAAACUGUUAUUAUGCGUAUAAUGCAGUGAGAAAUGUAGUGAAGAUUCAGUACUAUGAAAUAUGCUUUAAGGGAAAGUAGGGGAUGCAGAUAUUUAUUAACCAUAUUGUUGGUCCAGAGCGGCUGAAUUUCCUGAGAUAGCGGGUUGGAUUUUCAUCUGGCUGGUCAUAAGCUUAUCUGUGCCUGUUAGAUUCACUAUUAGAUCAUAGGACUAUUGAAAUAUCAUCAUGGUUUUAAUUUCUACAUUUCUCAUUCAUCAUUCCUCAUCACCAUUACCAAAUGUUGACUAAGGCCUUAUAUCUAGUUCUGAAAGAUACCAUAUAAAACACAUUGUCUCUGUUCUUCAGAAGCAUAGAUAGGGAGACAAGAUAUGUGUAAAAAUAUGACAAUCGUUAGCAGUAUAAAAAUUGCCAAUCAAGUGUAUAAAUGUAAGAGCUCUAGUAACCCUGGACUCCAGGUUGAGUUGAAACUCUGGCCAGGUCCCUUGAAAGGAGGUACAAUGGGCAAAUUGGCAAAAGAUUUUGAAAAAAAUAAAAUAAAAUAAAAAGGAGUUCCUGUCGUGGCUCAGCAGUUAACGAACCCGACUAGCAUCCAUGAGGAUGAGGGUUCGAUAUCUGGCCUUGCUCGGUGGGUUAUGGAUCUGGUGUCAUGGUGAGCUGUGAUAUAGCUGGCAGACAUGGCUAGGAUGCCGUGCUUUGCUGUGGCUCUGGCGUAGGCUGGCAGCCACAGCUGCCAUUCGAUCCCUAGCCUGGGAACCUCCACAUGCCGCAGGUGUGGCCCUAGAAAGACAAAAAGACGAAAAGACAAAAAAAAAAAAAAAGAUUUUGGCAAGAUAAGUACAAAUGAUUUACUGCUCCUGGAAAAUAGAUCAAAGGGCAUGCCCAAAUAAGAAUGGGUGACUUGUAUUUUCUUUGUAUCUUGGGUAUGAAAAAGAAAUAUUAUUAGGUGACAUCACAGAAUGCACAACUUCCCUUUAUCAAAUUUCUAGACUUUAAAAAUGAAUUGCUCAUUGCCAUUUAUUAUCUGUUUUAAUCUUUUUAAAAGUAUAAUCACUUCCUUUCAUCUUUUCCCCCUCAUUGAUUUUAUACAGUUUCUUUGAUGAGUUUGACACAAAGUCUCAUGGUUUGCUUUCACUAUUUUUCCUCAUUUUCUUGAAAUUGCUUGACACUUAAAAUGCUAUUGGUCUGCUUCAUUAUGUAGUUUGUCAUUUUUUGCUUCAAAAUUUUCUAAACAUUUUAGACCUUAUAAUCCAUAUCCUCUGGGGAGAACAAGAGGCCUCAAUUUAAGAGUUGCCUGGAAAGGCAGAACCUGAGUCCUUUAUCAUAGGUUCUUCCAUAAAGGGCCUAGAUCCCGACUUACUCUAAGGCUAAUUCAGUUCUCCCUAGCUGGCAUACUCCUCUCUUCACUUUCUGGCAUUGAACUUAAAUUGGCUUCUCUUUCCCACAUCCCCAAAUUUACUUCAGUUCCUGCUUGUUCCUCCCUCUGUCAAAAAUUCUCAUACAUAUUUGACUUUUACUGACACCUUUGUGACUGCUUUUGUGAGAAUUUAAUGACUUUUCAUGCUCUAAAUGGCUGCUAGAUUAUUUUCCUCUUAGGAUUUGAUAUCCAUGACAAAGAAACAUGCCUUUGGAACACAGUGAAUUUAGACAGAAUUUUAUGGUAGUAAAAUCAAAAUAAGUUAAGAUUCUGAAGUGACUUCUCGCCACUCAAAUUAGUUGUUAGUGUGACACCAAACAUGGUGUGUUUACUCCUAAUAAGAGGAUGGAUUUUCCAUUUUGAAUUGCUAUAGAUCCACAAAUAUUUGUGGGUGUCAAAAAGGCAUUGAUUAAAAAAAACAACUAUGCACAGUCAACGCACUAGAUUCACAAAGCCGAUUAAAAUACAAGUGCCUGUAAAAUGUGUGCCUGUUUUUCCCAAGUGCAUAGAAGAAUGAGAAUGUCAAUUUUUAGCCAAAUUAAUAUAGAGUGUAUGAGUGAGAUAGUAGUGGUAGUUUGGGAAUGAGUUGAAAAGGGAACUAAAGUAGCAUAUGGUUAUUGAGUACUCAAAAUUAAAACUUAUUAAAUACUAGUCAAAUAUAUUUAAAGUAUUCAAUCAUUGUCUCAGAUAAAAGGUGUGAGGAGUUGAAUGGCUUAUCAAAAUGUUAUUAGGACUUAGUAAAUAAUGAUAAAAUGUUAGUAGCAGCAGCAGCAAAUAUUUUGUGCUGACAAAUUGACAUUCACAUUUUAUGCUGAGAAUCUUGUUCUAAACAUUAGCUACAAUUUUUGCCUGUGAUGCCUUUGUUGACACUAAUGAGAAUGUAAUUGUUUUAAAAGUAAUUCAACUCUAGGACUUCUUGAAUUCUAAAUAUAAAAUGAUUUCUAAAUUUAAUGUUCUUAAAUAUUAUAACAGCUAUCUUUGCUAAUUUGUCAUGUACCAACUAUGAAGUAUAAAGGCAAUGGUGGGAGUUCCCAUUGUGGCACAGCGGAAAUGAAUCCGACUAGGAACCAUGAAGUUGCUGGUUUGAUCCCUGGCCUCACUCAGUGGGUUAAAGAUCCAGCGUUGCCAUGAGCUGUGGUGUAGGUUGCAGACGCGGCUUGGAUCCUGCGUUGCUGUGGCUGUGGUGUAGGCUGGCAGCUGUGGCUCUGAUUAGACCCUUAGCCUGGGAAC
rnacentral:lncRNA from 1 species